AUCAAUUGAUGCAUCUCAAGCAAAACCAAGGAGGUGAUUCUUCUGCUUUAUUCAGCAUUGGUGAGACUGCAGCUGGAGUACUGCAUCAAGUUCUGGACACCACACUUCAACAAGGAUAUGGGAAAGCUUGAGAGAAUCCAGAGAAGAGCCACCCAUAUGAUCAGAGACUUGCAAGAUUGUCACGUUAGAAGAAGGAAAGGUGGUAUCUCAGACAGGAAAGUCCUAUAACUUGAAGGGCUUUAAAAAUCAACAUGGAGACACUGAAAAGAGCAAAAUAACUUGUGUUACUAGGUAAAUGGGAGGAUACAUUUCC